rnacentral:rRNA from 1 species
GGACCGUUCACGUCCGUUUCGGGGCCCGGCGUACAGGUGCUGCAUGGCUGUCGUCAGCUCGUGCUGUGAAGUGUUGGGUUAAGUCCCGCAACGAGCGCAACCCCUGCUAUCUGUUGCCAGCAAGUGAUGUUGGGGACUCAGAUGGAACUGCCGGUGACAAACCGGAGGAAGGUGGGGAUGACGUCAAAUCAUCAUGCCCCUUAUGACCUGGGCUACAAACGUGAUACAAUGGCUGGAACAAAGGGAUGCGAAGCAGUGAUGUGGAGCGAAACCCAUAAAAACAGUCUCAGUUCGGAUUGAAGUCUGCAACUCGACUUCAUGAAGUCGGAAUCGCUAGUAAUCGCGGAUCAGAACGCCGCGGUGAAUACGUUCUCGGGGUUU